rnacentral:tRNA from 1 species
AGGGUUGUAGUUAAAUAUAACAUUUGGUUUGCAUCUAAAAAGUACUGAUCAUUCAGUCAAUCUUA